rnacentral:misc_RNA from 1 species
CGCACAUUGCGCCCUUUGGCAUUCCGAAGGGCAUGCCUGUUCGAGCGUCAUUAUCACCUCUCAAGCCUGGCUUGGUGUUGGACCCUCAGGCCUGGGCGUUGCCCCCGGUCGGUCCCAAAAGUAAUGACGGCGUCGCGUGGACUCUCGGUGCAACGAGCUUUUUUACAAGGCACGCACAGAGUAGAAAGGUCCCGCGGCACGGUCCCAACCUCUUUUAUUUUUUUCUAAAAGGUUGACCUCGGAUCAGGUAGGAAUACCCGCUGAACUUAA